UAGGGAAUCUUCCACAAUGGGACGAAAGUCUGAUGGAGCAACGCCGCGUGAGUGAAGAAGGGUUUCGGCUCGUAAAACUCUGUUGUUAAAGAAGAACAUAUCUGAGAGUAACUGUUCAGGUAUUGACGGUAUUUAACCAGAAAGCCACGGCUAACUACGUGCCAA
rnacentral:rRNA from 1 species